GACAGAGGGGGCAAGCGUUGCUCGGAAUUACUGGGCGUAAAGGGCGCGUAGGCGGGAUGGCAAGUCGGUCGUGAAAUCCCUCGGCUCAACCGAGGAACGUCGAUCGAUACUGCUGUUCUUGAGGAUUGCAGAGGAGACUGGAAUUCCCGGUGUAGCGGUGAAAUGUGUAGAGAUCGGGAGGAACACCGGUGGCGAAGGCGGGUCUCUGGCCCGAUACUGACGCUGAGGCACGAAAGCGUGGGGAGCAAACAGG
rnacentral:rRNA from 1 species